UAGAAUUAUUAUCGAAGUCAGAGAUAGAAUUAUGGCAUCCAGAGCGAUUGAGAAAAACCAGAUUGUAUUGGAAAACCAACGUUUGGCGAAUGAGUUGAGUCUAGUUCAAUCACAACUGACAGACUCCCAUUCCAAGUUACGACAAUUCCACAACGAGUUAGCAACUACCAAAAGCAAACUCGAAGAAAAGAAAAGUCUUAUUACUGACAUUACGGAGAAAAAUCUCCGCUUGACAAAUGAAAAUUCGCGACUUAAGCGAAAAACUGAAGACAGGGAUAGAAUUAUCGAAGACAGCGAUAGAAUUAUGGCAUCCAGUCGAGCGAUUGAGAAGAACCUUGUGAUGGAUAAAGAACGCUUAGCGAAUGAGUUGACUCUGCUUCAAACACAACUGAGGUCCAGCUCCAGCCCGCAAAUGUUUCAAACUGUACACAUCGAGUUGGCAAUCACCAAAAACGAACUCGAAAAUAACAAACGUUUAAUGACUGGCAUUACGGAGAAAAAUCUCCAAUUGAAAAAAGACGAUUCGCGUCUCAGGCGGAAAAUCGAAGACAGAGAUAAAAUUAUGGCAUCUAGUGCGAUUGAGAAAAACCAGAUUGUAUUGGAAAAAGAACGUUUGGCAAAUGAGUUGAGUCUAGUUCAAUCACAACUGAAAGACUCGCAUUCCAACCUGCAAUUAUUCCAGAACGUACACGACGAGUUAGCAACUACCAAAAGGGAACUCGAAAAUAAAAAACGUCAAAUGACUGACAUUGAGUCAAAGCUAGAGUCAAAGAAUAGAACCAUUUCUGAACUUGAAACGGAAAUUCUCCGUUGGACCGAAAACGAUUUACAGCUGAGGCGAAAAUUGGAAGAAACUGAUCGUCUUCUCCAAUCCGGUCAGGCGGAAAUGGAAGAACUACGAGUAUCCCAGACCGAAAGGAUCGAGCGCUUACAGGAUCAAGUGAAAAGUCUAGAAGAGAAGAAGAAGAAAUGGAAGAAGCCGUUCGAAAAUUUGCCAAAAUGGAAGAUAUUUAAGCCAAAAGAAAUGAAACCGAAAUUGGCGGCAGAAGUCGGAUGAGGCAGCGAAGAGGUGCGAAUCCUCGGCUGACCCUCGGACGCCAUGGGAGUAAUGUAAAGAGGAUUGAAAACCAAUAUGGGGUAAAGGUUAUAGGUUUAAUAAACGUAAUUCAAAAUCUGCCGGUAACAAUGGAGUGCCCUGAACUGGACACGAGAGGAAACAUCUUUGCCAACGGUUAUUUGUUAAGUGAGCUCGGCAUCAACAAUGACGUAAGCACUCAUCGACCAUCUAACGAUAAAGAAAACAAGGACGUUACCAUUUGGGAAAAGUUAGAAAAAUGUCGUAGAGUGUACGAAGUUCUUCCAAAUUAAUUUCGCUAAAUGUUUUGUCUUGUUUUUUAAAUUAAAGUUAAUAAGAAUUGAAGCUGGACGUCAGUUUUGCCUAUCGGAAUAGUUAUUGCCUUGCGAUGACGUUGCCUCCUCGUGACAAUCCGAAGGGAUUGGCGGAUGAACCCGUCGACGGAGUUGGUUCGCUGGUCGCUGGUGUGAUGUAAGUGAAGACUUUCGAUUUUCCUGGCACUUGUAUAAAAGUUGAGUUAUCAUGACUCCUAUAUACGGUGAAAGGAAUUAGAUCGUCUUCACUCGCACGCCAGUGUACAGUUGACUAACACCUUGACGGGGGGUUUCAUUAUACCCUCAAACGAGUCCGUCAGUUUCUGACGUGCGUUGCGGGUGGAGGAAACAGCCGAGCAAGUGGGCGACUAUUUCGAUGGUAGACGAGCUGGUCCAGUUUCUUUUAUUUGUUUAUUUUCUUUUAAUUUUGUUUUUCUCUCUUUAUCUAUUCAAAUAAAAUCUCAUUUUAAAUUUCAAUUCUUUUAAUUGUUUCGUCAUUUAUUUUUCAAUGCGCAGCCGGAGAAGGAAGAUGCCUUUCAUAUGCAGCACAAUAUAAAGGAAAAAUAAACUUCUGGCAUCAGCAAUGAACAUGAUAGAGACGUGCAUGAAAUAUUGAUACGAAGGCCGGGGUAAACCAAACCAAACGUCAUAUACGUUAUCAUGUUAAAAACAUACGAUGAAAAAAGAAUCCGGAACUGCAUUCAGUAAAUAUUCGAUUAAAUAGUGAAUCAAAGAAAGAAAAAGAGCUCUUGAAACACGAUAGUCUCGGGAGAGUCUUCGCCACAACAUGUCAAUAAAACCACAAAAGCUUGAUACGGAGAAAAAGAUACUUUCCGACUGAUUAUUUUGGAAGCGGCGACAAGCCCUUUUUUUGUGGUGACGUGGCCAGCCAACAGUUUCCGAUGGAAAGGCAAGAACUUCAGUAACUGGCCAGCAGUUGGCGAGACAAGUUGCGACAGUGAUGGCGUGAUCGUUUAUCUUCUCGUUCAAGGACACCUCGUCCCAAUCGAAAAAUGGCUACCAAUUCAACUGUUUCUCUUUCGAUGAAAUUCGACAGGACAUCCAUUUUAGGAAGUGGGGGUUACGGGGUCGUUUUUAGAGGAGAAUGGAACAAUAAAAUAGUUGCAGUCAAGCGAAUUGAAAAAACAAAUUGUGAAAACAACAAAGGAGAAGAUGCGCUGCAAAAACUCCACCAUCCAAAUGUCGUCAAACUUUAUCACGUUGACAGCGACAUUGAUUUCAGAUAUUAUGCGCUGGAACUAUGCCAAUUAUCGCUGAAUCAACUAUUCAACGGUGACGAGGCCCAGAAAAACUAUCAAGAGAAAAUGCCGCCAGAAAAAGAAGUUUGCCUCCAGUUGGCCAAGGGAUUGGCGUACAUUCACGAAAAGGGAUUCAUCUACUGGGAUAUUAAACCACAAAAUGUCUUCAUUUCUGUCCAUCCGACUGAUGUAGAAAAUGUGUCGAUGAAAUGGGCCGAUUUCGGACUCGGUUCGCCACUCAACGACAGGGGAAGUUUCUCGACGACCGAGCACAACACACGGCCCGAUAAUUGGCUGGCCCCUGAAAUCUUGCAGAUGAAGGAAAAUUUCAAUCGGACGACGCCCCUACGUCAAGAAGGAACCGUUAAAAGUGACGUUUUUUCCGCAGGUCUCAUUUUCGGCUUUUAUCUUUUAAAAGGACGUCACCCCUACGGCUCACAAUUCAAUAUCCCUGCCAACAUUGUCAAUAAUACGCCAGUCAAUCUGAAAGCCAUAGAAGAGAAAAAGCAUCCCAUGCACGCUAUCAUCAUGGACAUGUUGAAGAAAAACCCCAACGACAGGAUUUCAGCGGCUGACGUCAUAACAAGAAUCGCCAACAUUCAAUAGCAAAAACAAACAAAAAUGAUCCGACUCGUAUUAAACCCUCCAAUUACGACAGGCC